UGUAAGCGUAUACCAAAGUUGUUGCAGUUAAAACGCUCGUAGUCGGAUUUUGGCGGUUCCGGAAGUGUGCCGCGUCGUGCGGCCGCUUUGCAGGGACUGCUUUUGUGGGUGUGCGUCAGAUGAGGGCUGUUAAUUCGGUAACGUCUGUACGCAACCACUUUUACUGUGAGAAAAUCAGAGUGCUCAAAGCAGGCAUUUGCCGUGAAUGUAUUAGCAUGGAAUAAUAGAAUAGGACUUAGUCUUAUUUUGUUGGUUUGUUAGGACCGAGUAAUGAUUAAGAGGGACAGUUGGGGGCAUUUGUAUUUCGGCGCUAGAGGUGAAAUUCUUAGAUUGCCGAAAGACAAACUGCUGCGAAAGCGUCUGCCAAGGAUGUUUUCAUUGA
rnacentral:rRNA from 1 species